GUUCCUGUAGCGCAAUGGAUAGCGCGUGGGACUUCUGAUCCAAAGGUCGCGGGUUCAAAUCCCACCUGGGACG
rnacentral:tRNA from 1 species